rnacentral:lncRNA from 1 species
UAGUAAUUCUUAGUUUCCAUUUUGAAGCAACAUUAAUAAUCUGGCUCUCUUACGCAUCUGUCCAGGUAUGAGCUUCAGCUGGAGGGCAUAUUGAAUCUGCCAGAAUUUUUCGGCCAGAGCCAGCCUCAAGCUGAUGGAGGACCAAGGAACCAGUCAUCCCACCCGUCCACAUCGUGUGCAGGGAAGGAGCAUCUGUGCGCAUUACAUUAGAGGAGCAUCACGAACGCUCUUCCUUCACUGUGGGAAGCUGUUUGAAGGCAGUCGGCACCCCGGGUGAAGAUUAACGCACUCUUGUCUGUGAAGUACUUUCCGUUCUUCUUCGGAGAAAAGCUCGAUUGUUAUCCUCACCGGUAUCCACAACCAGACCUGUCAGAUUGGAGUCUUCUGGGGUUUCGGGCCCACGCCAGCACUCGAGUCAUUUCAGAUGUGGUGCUGCUAAGGGAUUUUGUGUGCCAAGCGCUGACAGGAGAAUCAAAUCAGAUGGCAUCCCUGUCACACACGGGGCUCACAAUCUAAGAGGGAGAGAGAGCCAACGAGGAAACUGAGGCUCAGAAGGGUUAACCGACUUGCCCGAGAGCCGGGAUUAGAACCCAGGUCUCCUGGCUCCCAGAGCAUCUUCCCACUGUGCCCCAUCUGACUACCUUGUCUCUGCCCCAGUGCUCAGUGCGGAAUUUGGCACCCAGCAAGCAAUACUAAUUAUUAAGUUAAAAAAUAAAAAUGCCGUCCCUGCCCUCAAAUUGCUCCCAAUUUAAGGAAGCAUGAGAAGAGGAAGGAGUUCAGUUGCUGGGAGGAGAGGAGGGUGGAGGUCAGGGCAGGGUCUCCCAGCUGUCCUCUUGACCGGUCCGUGGCCAGCGCCCCAAAGGUGACUGAGUCAGCCCGGGCAGUCCCGGCCAGGGACCACCUUCAGGCCGUACGCUUCACUUCUGAGCAAGGGACGAGCUCGGACAGGCCCGGAGAGCCAACGUUUGGGUUAAAAGGGCUGCCGAAUCCAUGAAGGUCAAGGUCAUCUCUCCCUCUGACCGAUGGAAACCCCCAGCUUCAGACCCUGGGUCCGCCUUCUGUAGCGAAACCAGGGGCCUCUGGACUGUGAGCUCAUCCUCUAGACUGUAAGCUCGCUGUGGGCAGAGAAUCUGCCUGUUGAUGGUUAUAGU